rnacentral:lncRNA from 1 species
ACCACCAAAGGACGGGUUAGAACCGGGGAGAGUGGAGAUGGGGAGACCGGCUGGGUCCAGGAGCACACGUUGGAGGGUAUCGAGUGAAUUAGUCAGAAGGCAGCUGAAAUCAUUCAGCGUCAACCAAAGAGUGGACAGACUUUCCUGGGUUCAUUCUUCGUGGGUUGUGCUCACCUUCCCCAAACGCUUCCGCGUUCUCCACCUUAGCCAGCCACUCGCCCUUUCAUCAGCUGAGCGGAGCAGACUUUCUUUUUCCUGCUGGAAACAUGUCGUCAAGAGGGAUGCUUUUGGAGAUGGAGGAACCACUAAGGAAACACUGCUGAAGAAUGAGGGGCAGCAACUACAUUCCAGUCACAUUGUUUAAUCACUGGAUCCGGCUGCUUCUGAAACAAACCUACUCCGGACUUUUCAAUUACGUGAGUCAAAUUCCCUGUGUUGUUUAAUCCAGUUGGAUUUUCAGUCACGUGUAACCAAAGUCAUCCUGACAAACACAUGGAGCUCCGGGUAGUUCCAUUUGGACGCGACUCUCAGCUCCUUGAAUAACUGGAAGGGCUAGGAGACCCAUUCUUGCAUGUCAUCUCAGCUCUUGCAUGAACCACUACUUCUAAGACGUAGAAUGCCAUAAGGACAGACCACUGGGCUCGGUGUUAGAGGACAGGUUUUAGACUUGGUUCUGACACUUUUUUGAUUAAGUGAAUUUGUAAAUCGCUUAAUCUCAGUUUAUCUAUAAAAUGAGAAAGUGUGCCUUCAGUGUCUUCAUUUAUCUCCCUACCCAUUGCAGCAGAACCCUUUUUCAGAAGAAAUCCUAUGUCGAACUCCAAGAAAUAAAACACAUACCACUGUGAGUUACA